AAACGACUCUUGGCAACGGAUAUCUAGGCUCUUGCAUCGAUGAAGAACGUAGCGAAAUGCGAUACUUUGUGUGAAUUGCAGAAUCCCGUGAAUCAUCGAGUCUUUGAACGCAAGUUGCGCCCAAAGCCUUCGGGCCGAGGGCACGUCUGCCUGGGCGUCAUAA
rnacentral:rRNA from 1 species